rnacentral:SRP_RNA from 1 species
GCUGGCUGUUGUGGUGGGCGCCUGUAGUCCCAGCUACUUGGGAGGCUGAGGCAAGAGAAUUGCUUAAGUCCAAGAGUUGAGGCUUGCUAUGAGCUGUGAUGCCAUGGCACUCUACUGAGGGCAACAAAGUGAGAUCCUGUCUUGAAAAAAAAAAGUUCUCUUGUAAAGAGUUUUUUGCUGUUGUUUUUUUGAGACAGAGUCUUAAGCUCUUGCCCUGGGUAGAAUGCUGUGGUGUCACAGCUCACAGCAACCUCCAACUCUUGGACUUAAGUGAUUCUCUUGCCU